CUCUGGGACGGAAGGAUUCGAACCUCCGAAUA
rnacentral:tRNA from 1 species